rnacentral:rRNA from 1 species
UAAGUAAGCGGAGGACAAGAAACUAAAUAGGAUUCCCUCAGUAAUGGCGAAUGAACAGGGAUGAGCUCACCAUGGAAAUUGUAGCUUCUGGCUAUGAAUUGUAAUUUCAAGAUGUAUCGCCAACUAGGGCGCAGGUGCAAGCCUCUUGGAAAAGAGCAUCAGUGAGGGUGAGAAUCCCGUUUGUCAUCUGUAGACCCUCGUGUUCGGCAUACGAUCUUAGAGUCACGUUCCUCGGGAUUGGAGCGCAAAGUGGGUGGUAAAUUUCAUCUCAAGCUAAAUAUGGGUUCGAAACCGAUAGCAAACAAGUACCAUGAGGGAAAGAUGAAAAGGACUUUGAAAAGAGAGUUAAAAGUGCCUGAACUUGCUGAAAGGAAAGCGGAUGGAACCACUCUUGCCUGGCGAGAUUGUUGCGUGCUCCAGUGAUUCAUUGCUGCGCGAGCGCAAGCAGCGCUGCGAUUUUUGAUCUGGUCGCGCGUGAUGCUUCUUGCCUUGUGCGUCACUAGCUGCGCGAUGGUGAGGAUACCUCUAGGGACAUGGUAGCGAGCCUUCGGGAGCGCGAAUGUGCUUAGUAGUGCUUGCCCUCGCGCGGUGCCUCUUUGCUUCAGAUUGCGUUGCGCUCGACGCGGUGUCGCAUGCAAGUGCGCGUCCGCUCGGGACACCUUUCUGGCGCUCCCUUAGUGGCGAAAUGGUUCCAUUCGACCCGUCUUGAAACACGGACCAAGGAGUCUAACAUAUGUGCGAGUUCUUGGGUGUCAAACCUACGUGCGCAAUGAAAGUGAGUACUGAGAUGUUAGCAUCAGCAGCCGACCGAUCGAUUGGGAGAGGUUUGAGCAUGAGCACAUCUGUUAGGACCCGAAAGAUGGUGAACUAUGCCUGAGAAGGGCAAAGUCUGGGGAAACUCAGAUGGAGGCUCGUAGCGGUACUGACGUGCAAAUCGUUCGUCAUACUUGGGUAUAGGGGCGAAAGACUAAUCGAACCAUC